ACACAUGCAAGUCGAACGGAAAGUGCUCUUCGGAGUGACUCGAGUGGCGAACGGGUGAGUAACACGUGGGUGAUCUGCCCUGCACUUUGGGAUAAGCCUGGGAAACUGGGUCUAAUACCGGAUAGGACCACAUGCUUCAUGGGGUGUGGUGGAAAGCUUUUGCGGUGUGGGAUGGGCCCGCGGCCUAUCAGCUUGUUGGUGGGGUAAUGGCCUACCAAGGCGACGACGGGUAGCCGGCCUGAGAGGGUGUCCGGCCACACUGGGACUGAGAUACGGCCCAGACUCCUACGGGAGGCAGCAGUGGGGAAUAUUGCACAAUGGGCGCAAGCCUGAUGCAGCGACGCCGCGUGAGGGAUGAC
rnacentral:rRNA from 1 species